GGAAAUACGCCCAAAAGCGUCCUAACCACACAACCACUCAAUUGGCAUAGAGGACUUACCUCGCCUCAGUUUCCUUCCCUGCACGUCAGUAUAGUUCAUAUCGCAAUGCUUAUAAUCAAUGCACAUAACAACUGGAACACCUCAUCAAUUCAAUUAAUCACCAAGGUCCUGAUUAUAAGGCCAAACCAUUAUGACACGUCCCAUUCCAUGUCACACAGUUUUGGUAUCAUAAUCGGGUGCAUCAAACUCAACAAUCAUGCGUUCCAAUUGUUAAUUACACCCCUCAAGGGUACGGCCAACUCUAUUGGCGGUCUUCUGGCAUUGCCAGGCGUCGUCUCACCUCCUUUGAGCACGGCUACGUCUCUCAAUUAGAUGGCUUCCCCGAAGGGGCGUAGGUCCAGAAUCUACUGCGACCCGCUACCCUAAUGCAUGGGUAACCCGAAAAGGGAUUUAGUAACGUCCGGCAUAAUUGCUCGAGACUGGUUCUCUUAACCAACACACGACCACUCAAUCUCGGCCCAGGACACUGUGCAUUGCACUCAAAUGCCUCCAUUAAAAUAGUGAUCCUGGCCUAUUUCCUUCGUAUUAAAAAUAUCCUGAAAAUAGUCGUGUGUGGGUACACGGUCAAUUCGAAC
rnacentral:lncRNA from 1 species